rnacentral:lncRNA from 1 species
AGCCACAAAAGGAAUGGCUCUGUAAGAACUCUGGGAUCAAUCCACAGAAUCAUCUUAUCUGUGACAGCUAUGCAGUUGUGCUCUGGUGCCCCAUGGCUCACGUGCUUUGCCUGCCGAUGCUUCCCUGCUCCUCCUUCCUCAGGCUGAGGGCUGGGGCCGCUGGUUCUGUAAGAAAAAGAAAGGAAACAUGAAGUAUUCUGAUCACAAGCACCUCUUCACAGGAAGGAAGAACGCACUGUUUCUAAAUAUAAAUACAGGUAGUAUGCUUAAUAAAUUCAAGAAUAGCUGUUUGUUUCUGAGGGAAAAACACACACUUUGUUCUCUGUCCUGAAAGAAAGGAAGCAGGCUUUGGGAGGGACUUGCAAGGAAGCGUUGCCUUUCCAGCUGCAGUGAGCCUGGAGGUGCCGAAUGUCCCCUUGGCCAUACUUCUUCCAGAAUCUGUGACACUCUGAGACGGCCACAGCAGCUGUCUUUAGGGCUCAUCGCAUCCCUUGUACGUCCUUGCCCUAGCUACUGGCACAGUGCAUGCAGAGGGUGGGCAGGGCAGCAAGUGUUAUGGUAGGUUUGUGACCUCACUGUGUGUCAGCGAUCACCUGUCACUGAUGAGUAAGGGAACAAAUAUGAUCAAGUAGUGAGGGACCUUGUGUUCUGCAUUAUGGUCCGUGUACAAGUGAGGGAGUGUCACAAAAAUCCUGAGUGGUGUUUGUGUGUGCUGAGAUCAUCGUUUCUCUAUUGCUGGAUGCUGCGUAACUUACCUGUGAUAGGAAAGUGCUGGAUAAUCUGUUUGAAGAGAGAACAGAGUAAGUUUUGUCGAAGUUGGGGAUGUUGAAGCCCUCUGGACUACUCCAAAGACUUCAAACUGAAGACUAGCCGUGACAGUCAAUACUUUCCAAGCUGGGAUAUUCCCAGGAGGAGGUAGCACAGUUACGUUUGGCAAAAGUGACAGUCAUAUAUCAACUUCAGAGGCUUUGCUCUUACUCUGUGCAACUACUUAUUCAAGGAAAGUGAAAGUGAUUAAAAGAGCCUACCAGAGACUGAAGAAAGGUGAUGAGCAUUUGUGGAGAGUUAAGAAGGUGGAGGGGAAGUUCAGUAUAUGCAGUCAUUUAAGGAAGAGAGUCUUGCAUAGAAAAGUAAGUGUUCUGGCUGUUCACUCACAGAAAGAACAGAAGGUAAGAAUGACCAACAAGAAGCAGUUUGGGGCGCUGGGGCUGGGGUAUGGGAAGGUUGGUAGAGAGUUAACGGUGCAGGAACCAUUGUGAGAUAUACAUUUAUCCUGACAAUAUGUUCUUACCUCCUCCUUCCAUAUUUUGUUACUGAGAUACUCACAUGGUGUCAGCAAUCAGUGGAAUAUUUGAUACCUUUUAUCUAGCAUGUUUU